CAUACUCUCUUGUCUCUGCAGGAAAAUCCGUAUUUGUUCACAUAUAGAAAUAGUAACUACUCGUUUUCCCUGGAGACAUCAAACACCAAACAAACAUCUCAGGAGAGGAUUUAUGGAACAAAUAUUCCCUGUUUUGACCGGAGUCCCUCUGAUACAGUUCCAGUUUCAGUUCAUAAUCUGAAACCGGCGGAUAUUCGGGUGAUCGCUGCCCUGGGAGAUUCACUCACAGCAGGUAAUGGGGCAGCAUCCAAACCUCAUGAUAUUCUGGAUGUCCUGACUCAAUACCGUGGUGUUUCUUGGAG